rnacentral:rRNA from 1 species
CUACGGGCCGCUCCAGUGGGGAAUAUUGGACAAUGGGCGCAAGCCUGAUCCAGCAAUGCCGCGUGAGUGAAGACGGCCUUAGGGUUGUAAAACUCUUUCGCUAGGGAAGAUAAUGACUGUACCUAGUAAAGAAGUCCCGGCUAACUCCGUGCCAGCAGCCGCGGUAAUACGGAGGGGACUAGCGUUGUUCGGAAUUACUGGGCGUAAAGAGUUCGUAGGCGGACUGACAAGUUAGAGGUGAAAUCCCAGGGCUCAACCCUGGAACUGCCUUUAAAACUGUCAGUCUAGAGACCGGAAGAGGUGAGGGAAAUACCUAGUGUAGAGGUGAAAUUCGUAGAUAUUAGGUGGAACACCAGUGGCGAAGGCGCCUAACUGGUCCGGUACUGACGCUGAGGAACGAAAGCGUGGGAGCAAACAGGAUUAGAUACCCCUGUAGUC